rnacentral:lncRNA from 1 species
UGCACUCAAACAUUCGAAUCUACGCUGAUGUGUCAUUUAAGUUCCAAUGUGGAAUAGCAAUAUUGUGUCACACAACCAUAAACAUGGGGAUUUCCACGCCCUCCAGACAUUCACACACGCUCUUCAUCUGCCAAACCUAAGCAAACAAUGUUCCAACACUCGCAGACACCUUUUUUGAAUCUACAUAUACAGCGUCCAUCAGUUCCAAAAUAUUCAAUCUCAAUCAACUUCAUCGAAGCCUUAGCUUAACAGUGAUCUUGAUCCACUCAUCAUAUCGAAAAUGGCUCAACUUUCCAAGGUCUCUGGUUUGUGGUGCAAGAUGCACAGAGAAGGCGACGAUGAUGAUGCAUAUACUUAUGUCCCAUGUGUACGAGGUGGUGGCGAUGAUGAUGACGGAGAUUAUGAUUAUGCUCCUGCUGCAUCUGAGGGCGACGAUGAUGACGAUGGUGGUUAUGAUUAUGCUCCUGCUGCUUAAGUACUAAGGGAAGAGUAGUAUCUAACAAAUUGUAUCGGCAUGCAAAUUGGAUUUUAUCUAAUUUUUUAACAUAGGUUUAUGUUGACUCAUGUCUUGGGUGGUGUAUCCGAUUAAUAUAUGACUAGCUCUCCAGAGUUUUUCAACAGAGAAAGUGUUUGUAUGGCGUUUUGUUGGACUUUCAGCAUUUUAUAAUGAAAUAUUAUUCAAUCUUUCUAUGUUUUUAUAUGGAGUAUUAUGGUGGUAUAAGUUAACUGAUUCUUUUACGGACUAUAAAAGACAAGCAAUAGUAAUUAAGCAUCUAGUUUGACAUCUACAUCCUCCAACAUUCAUGGACUCUGCGAAUGAGUUGUUAAGCCAAAUGGAAGCAGUGUAAAAUAAUUACGUACCCGAAUUGUACGAUUUAAUUGAGAUAGAAAGUGAACCUAAUGAUGAUAAGUUAGUAGAGUAAUGGCUGUUUUUAAUCUAGUGAUAGCUAGGUGCCCAAGUAGAGUAAUGGCCAUAUGUAAUCAGUCACUAGCUUAAGCAAACAAAUGAAGCUUUUCAUUUCGAAAUAACAAUUCUACUAAAUAGUAAUUACAGCAAAUGCAGAGAGACGCCAUGAAGAGGUUAUACAUAAUUCGACACUUCACUACCUAGCUAUAGUCCUGUGUUAGUGCAGACGGCAGUUAUAACCUAUAAUACAUCUUCUUGAUAUCAGAUGUAAACUAGCUAAUGUAAAUUAUGCGUGCGUUCAUCUGCCUCAGAUCUUUUUACAUCUACAGUUCGUCGUGUGUGCGUGUGGAGUAAUACACAGAGUGAGGCGAUCUUUAUUUGGGCUUCUGAUCAUUUCUUGGAUGCUGAGAUGUUUGACAGUAAUUAUCAUCAAGCUAAGUUGUAUGACUGCAAAUCUGCAAACUAAUUACUCUAUAAAUAUGUUUACAGUAUCUUACUAACAUAGUAGAGCCAUCCUGCAGCGGCUAAUUAAAACAGUUUCUGACUAAGCUAAAAAAAUUUUUGUUUGUGUGUCAAGUCAGAAAAUGAUGUGAAGUUCUCACGAGUUGGUUUGAGAUACUUUUUUGGUGGCUUAUUUUUUAAUUUCUGAUUAAAGUCAACCAUAAGUAAGUUAUUUAUAAGUGACUUUUAUAAUUAUUACUAUAUUUUUAAUAAUCCAUAAGUCAGUAUUAAAUCAAAAUUAUUCAAACAAACAUUUUAAUCUCCAAAUUAUCACAUUAAGUCACAUUAAUGAGUCAUAAUUUUAAACUUAGCAAAAAACGGAGUCUACAACAUGCGCUGAUAAUCAUAUACAAAGAUUUAUGUUAGAAUCAUAUAAAAUGCAAGUCAACCGAGUAGAUACAUGACAAAGUUCAGUUGACAGACACAAGUUAUUUUUAAACCAAAAAGUAGCAAGUUUUCUGCACCAGACCUCACUGGUUUUCAGGCAGUAGUCAGUAAUCACCUGAAUUUCCACUUCUCCGGCAUUUCAUGAAGCAAUUUCAAUUACAAGAACUGAAGUUAUUGCAUUUUCAACUUAAUCAAUGUUAACUGCAGCCGUUUUUACCAAGUCAGUUUGGCCCAUGACCCCAUGAGGCGACAUUUCAACAUUGAUCAGCGCGACCCGCAGCCGAAAGAGAAAAACGAUACCUCUCCACUAGCCACACAAAAACACACUUAAUUGCACUCAGACAUUCGAAUCUACGCUGAUGUGUCAUUUAUAUUCCAAUGUGGAAUAGCAAUAUUGUGUCACACAACCAUUCGCAUGGGGACUUCCACGCCCUACACACGCUCAUCGUCUGCCAAACCUAAGCAAAUAAUGUUUGAGCACUCGCACAGUCUCAGACACCCUUUUCUGCAUCUACAUAUACAGCGUCAAUCAGGGAAAAAAUAUUCAGACUCAAUCAAGUUCAUCGAAGCCUUAGCUUGCCAGCUGUGUUCUUGAUCCACUCCUCUAAGAGAUCAUCAUAUCGAAAAUGGCUCUCCUUUCCCAGGCCUCUGGUUUGUGGUGCAAGAUGCACAGAGAAGGUGACGAUGAUGAUGCAUAUACGAUGAUGAUGCAUAUACUUAUGUCCCGUGUGUACAAGGUCGUGACGGAGAUUAUGAUUAUGCUCCUGCUGCAUCUGAGGGCGACGAUGAUGAUGAUGGUGGUUAUGAUUAUGCUCCUGCUGCAUAAGUACUAAGGAAAGAGUAGUAUCUAACAAAUUGUAUCGGCAUGCAAAAUGUAUUCUAUCUAAUUUUAUAUGUUGGGAUAAGAGAUUAGAGUAAUAUUUUCGCUUAAUACAUAGGUUUAUGUUGACUCAGGUCUUGGGUCGUGAAUCCGAUUAAUAUAUGACUAGCUCUCCGGAGUUUUCGAACAGAGAAAGUGUUUGUAUGGCGUUUUGUUGGACUUUCAGCAUAUUAUAAUGAGAUAUUAUGCAAUCUUUCUAUGUUUUUAUAUGGAGUGUUAUGGUAG